UUUGCGGUUUGUCUAAUUUUUAUUAAUUAGCAAAAUAUAAUAGAAGUUGAGAAAAAAGAAAAAAACGAUCAAACAAAAUAGAGAAAUAAUAAAAAAAAAAGAUUGAAAAAAAAGGCAAGAAAAAAAUGAAGAAUUUAAAAAAUUGAGAAAAAUAAAAAUAAGAGGAAAAAAUAAAAAUAAAGUUUGAAAAAAUUGAGGG
rnacentral:lncRNA from 1 species